AUUGAACGCUGGCGGCAUGCUUUACACAUGCCAGUCGAACGGCAGCGCGGGCUUCGGCCUGGCGGCGAGUGGCGAACGGGUGAGUAAUGCAUCGGAACGUGCCCAGUAGUGGGGGAUAGCGCGGCGAAAGCCGGAUUAAUACCGCAUACGACCUGAGGGUGAAAGCGGGGGACCGAAAGACCUCGCGCUAUUGGAGCGGCCGAUGUCGGAUUAGCUAGUUGGUGGGGUAAAGGCUUACCAAGGCGACGAUCCGUAGCUGGUCUGAGAGGACGACCAGCCACACUGGGACUGAGACACGGCCCAGACUCCUACGGGAGGCAGCAGUGGGGAAUUUUGGACAAUGGGGGCAACCCUGAUCCAGCCAUGCCGCGUGCGGGAAGAAGGCCUUCGGGUUGUAAACCGCUUUUGUUCGGGAAGAAAUCCUCUGGGCUAAUACCCCGGGGGGAUGACGGUACCGGAAGAAUAAGCACCGGCUAACUACGUG
rnacentral:rRNA from 1 species